rnacentral:rRNA from 1 species
GGGAGCUUGCUCUUGGGAAUUAGUGGCGAACGGGUGAGUAACACGUGAGUAACCUGCCCUUGACUCUGGGAUAACCUCCGGAAACGGAAGCUAAUACCGGAUACGAACUGCGGAGGCAUCUCCAGCAGUUGGAAAGAACUUCGGUCAAGGAUGGACUCGCGGCCUAUCAGGUAGUUGGUGAGGUAACGGCUCACCAAGCCUACGACGGGUAGCCGGCCUGAGAGGGUGACCGGCCACACUGGGACUGAGACACGGCCCAGACUCCUACGGGAGGCAGCAGUGGGGAAUAUUGCACAAUGGGCGCAAGCCUGAUGCAGCAACGCCGCGUGAGGGAUGACGGCCUUCGGGUUGUAAACCUCUUUUAGUAGGGAAGAAGCGAAAGUGACGGUACCUGCAGAAAAAGCACCGGCUAACUACGUGCCAGCAGCCGCGGUAAUACGUAGGGUGCGAGCGUUGUCCGGAAUUAUUGGGCGUAAAGAGCUCGUAGGCGGUCUGUCGCGUCUGCUGUGAAAUCCCGAGGCUCAACCUCGGGCCUGCAGUGGGUACGGGCAGACUAGAGUGCGGUAGGGGAGAUUGGAAUUCCUGGUGUAGCGGUGGAAUGCGCAGAUAUCAGGAGGAACACCGAUGGCGAAGGCAGAUCUCUGGGCCGUAACUGACGCUGAGGAGCGAAAGCGUGGGGAGCGAACAGGAUUAGAUACCCUGGUAGUCCACGCCGUAAACGUUGGGAACUAGAUGUGGGGACCAUUCCACG